rnacentral:lncRNA from 1 species
UUUAUACUGCUUAUGUACAAUCUGUUAUGUUCUGAGGUAACUUGUAGCUGUAUAUUUUAUACUGCUUGUGUACAAUCUGUUAUGUUCUGAAGUAACUUGUAGUAAUGUGCUUGACACUGCUUAUGAACAAACUGUUAUGUUCUGAAGUAACUUGCAGUUGUAUAAUUUAUACUGCUGAUGUACAAUCUGUUAUGUUCUGAGGUAACUUGUAUUUGUAUGUUUAUACUGCUUGUGUACAAUCUGUUAUGUUCUGAAGUAACUUAUAGUCAUGUGUUUUAUACUGCUUAUGUACAAUUUGCU